rnacentral:tRNA from 1 species
GGUGUAGCUCAGUGGUAGGGCUCUUGCCUAGCACAUGCAAGGUUCUGGGUUUGAUCCCCAGCACC